CAGAUUGAACGCUGGCGGCAGGCCUAACACAUGCAAGUCGAGCGGUAGAGAGGUGCUUGCAUCUCUUGAGAGCGGCGGACGGGUGAGUAAUGCCUAGGAAUCUGCCUAGUGGUGGGGGAUAACGUUCGGAAACGGACGCUAAUACCGCAUACGUCCUACGGGAGAAAGCGGGGGACCUUCGGGCCUCGCGCCAUUAGAUGAGCCUAGGUCGGAUUAGCUAGUUGGUGAGGUAAUGGCUCACCAAGGCGACGAUCCGUAACUGGUCUGAGAGGAUGAUCAGUCACACUGGAACUGAGACACGGUCCAGACUCCUACGGGAGGCAGCAGUGGGGAAUAUUGGACAAUGGGGCG
rnacentral:rRNA from 1 species